ACCAGUAUCUGUAUAUCCUAUUGUCAGUCUGCAACUCUUGGUAACACGUUUUCUUUUUUAUUUUUGAAUAUCAGGAGUGAAUUUGAAAACACACCAUGUAGCAUUCUGCUGCCUAAUUACCCAGUUUCAUCCCCCACAAGUUGCUUUCAAAGAAAAUCACUCUCCAAGGUCGUGCUCUCGUGGAUUAUAAUGAAAAGUCAACGAAGUGUUCUCAUGCUACAGGAAGCACUUCAGUGCUGUACUCUUUACUCUUUAAAAAGUUCCACUUCAAUAAUGUAUUGCUGAACCAAAUUAAAUGAGAUUUUCAGCAAAAUCAUCAUGAUAUUAAAUAGAAGGCUGCUAAAGGAACAUCCCCUCUAAUCU